UACGUAGGGUGCAAGCGUUGUCCGGAAUUAUUGGGCGUAAAGAGCUCGUAGGCGGUCUGUCGCGUCUGCUGUGAAAACUCGGGGCUUAACCCCGGGCCUGCAGUGGUGACGGGCAGACUAGAGUGCGGUAGGGGAGACUGGAAUUCCUGGUGUAGCGGUGAAAUGCGCAGAUAUCAGGAGGAACACCAGUGGCGAAGGCGGAUCUCUGGGCCGUUAACUGACGCUGAGGAGCGAAAGCGUGGGGAGCGAACAGG
rnacentral:rRNA from 1 species